rnacentral:tRNA from 1 species
GGGCGAAUAGCUCAGUGGUAGAGCGUCUGUCUUACAAACAGAUGGUCGGGGGUUCAAAUCCCUCUUCGCCCA